AGAGUUUGAUCAUGGCUCAGAACGAACGUUGGCGGCAUGGAUUAGGCAUGCAAGUCGGGCGAAUCCCCGCAAGGGGGGAAGCGGCGUAAGGGGCAGUAAGGCGUGGGUGACCUGCCUCGGGGUUCGGGAUAGCCCGUUGAGAAACGGGGUAAUACCGGAUGACCCGGCGACGGCAAAGAUUCAUCGCCCUGAGAGGGGCCCACGUGGUAUUAGCUAGUUGGUAAGGUGACGGCUUACCAAGGCGAAGAUGCCUAGCGGGUGUGAGAGCACGACCCGCGCCACUGGCACUGAGACACUGGCCAGACACCUACGGGUGGCUGCAGUCGAGGAUCUUCGGCAAUGGGGGCAACCCUGACCGAGCGAUGCCGCGUGUGCGACGAAGGCCUUCGGGUUGUAAAGCACUGUCGAGGGGGAGAAAAGGGAAACUUUGAUCUAUCCCUGGAGGAAGCACGGGCUAAGUUCGUGCCAGCCGCCGCGGUAAUAC
rnacentral:rRNA from 1 species